GAUGAACGCUAGCUACAGGCUUAACACAUGCAAGUCGCGGGACCGGCGCACGGGUGAGUAACGCGUAUCCAACCUGCCCUUCACCACGGGAUAACCCGGCGAAAGUCGGACUAAUACCGUAUGGUGAAGGAUGGGGAUGCGUCCGAUUAGCUUGACGGCGGGGUAACGGCCCACCGGGGAUACGGUCGGUGGGGGUGCUGAUAGGAAGGCCCCCCACACUGGAACUGAGACACGGUCCAGACGCCUACGGGAGGCAGCAGUGAGGAAUAGUGGUCAAUGGGCGUAAGCCGGAACCAGCCAAGUAGCGUGCAGGACGACGGCCUAGGGGUUGUAAACUGCUGUUAUGCGGGGAUAGGUACCGCAUGAAUAAGGACCGGCUAAUUCCGUGCCAGCAGCCGCGGUAAUAC
rnacentral:rRNA from 1 species